GUUUACCCAAUAGAUUUCAAGGUGUAGGAAGGCGGUGAGCGAGAGCAACCAACACACCUACAGCUUGAAAGAUGAAGGGUUGUUGCCGUGGAAACUUUUGGCCCAUCUCCGGAUGGGCUUUUUU
rnacentral:sRNA from 19 species